AGUCCCGUAGCUCAGUUGGUUAGAGCGCUACACUGAUAAUGUAGAGGUCCCCGGUUCAACUCCGGGCGGGACUA
rnacentral:tRNA from 2 species